UACGUAGGGGGCUAGCGUUGUCCGGAAUCAUUGGGCGUAAAGAGCGUGUAGGCGGUCCGGUAAGUCCGCUGUGAAAGUCGGGGGCUCAACCCUCGAAUGCCGGUGGAUACUGUCGGGCUAGAGUGCGGAAGAGGCGAGUGGAAUUCCUGGUGUAGCGGUGAAAUGCGCAGAUAUCGGAAGGAACAUCAGUGGCGAAAGCGACUUCCUGGACCAAUACUGACGCUCAUGUGCGAAAGCGUGGGGAGCAAACAGG
rnacentral:rRNA from 1 species